AAAGGAAUUGACGGGGGCCCGCACAAGCGGUGGAGUAUGUGGUUUAAUUCGACGCAACGCGAAGAACCUUACCAAGGCUUGACAUUGAGUGAAAGACCUAGAGAUAGGUCCCCUUCUUCGGAAGCACGAAAACAGGUGGUGCAUGGCUGUCGUCAGCUCGUGUCGUGAGAUGUUGGGUUAAGUCCCGCAACGAGCGCAACCCUUAUCCUAUGUUACCAGCACGCAACGGUGGGGACUCAUAGGAGACUGCCAGGGAUAACCUGGAGGAAGGCGGGGAUGACGUCAAGUCAUCAUGCCCCUUAUGUCUUGGGCUACACACGUACUACAAUGGUCGGCAACAAAGGGCAGCGAAGCCGCGAGGCGGAGCCAAUCCCAGAAACCCGACCCCAGUUCGGAUCGCAGGCUGCAACCCGCCUGCGUGAAGUUGGAAUCGCUAGUAAUCGCAGGUCAGCAUACUGCGGUGAAUACGUUCCCGGGCCUUGUACACACCGCCCGU
rnacentral:rRNA from 1 species